AGUGAACGCUGGCGGUAGGCCUAUCACAUGCAAGUCGAACGGCAGCACAGGAGAGCUUGCUCUCUGGGUGGCGAGUGGCGGACGGGUGAGGAAUACAUCGGAAUCUACUCUGUCGUGGGGGAUAACGUAGGGAAACUUACGCUAAUACCGCAUACGACCUACGGGUGAAAGCAGGGGACCUUCGGGCCUUGCGCGAUUGAAUGAGCCGAUGUCGGAUUAGCUAGUUGGCGGGGUAAAGGCCCACCAAGGCGACGAUCCGUAGCUGGUCUGAGAGGAUGAUCAGCCACACUGGAACUGAGACACGGUCCAGACUCCUACGGGAGGCAGCAGUGGGGAAUAUUGGACAAUGGGCGCAAGCCUGAUCCAGCCAUACCGCGUGGGUGGAGAAGGCCUUCGGGUUGUAAAGCCCUUUUGUUGGGAAAGAAAUCCAGCUGGCUAAUACCCGGUUGGGAUGACGGUACCCAAAGAAUAAGCACCGGCUAACUUCGUGCCAGCCGCCGCCGUAA
rnacentral:rRNA from 1 species